CUCUCUCCCACAGCCAGCACCCCCCCCCAACCCGGCUCCCCAUCUGCACGGCCCGGUCGAGGGAAAAAGGCAUACCUUGGAGAUACUGCAAAUUCGGUUCCAGACCACCGCAAUAAAAUGAGUAUCACGUUAAAGGAAGUCAAAUGAAGGUUUUGGUUUCCCAUGUUCCUACUUGGAAAAUGGAAGAUACUAUUGAACCUAAUACACUACAACAAUGAAUGAAGGCACCUGCUAAGUCUGUGCUACUACACCGAGCCAGAGAAGACCCAAACACUGCACAGUGUUGCUGCCUUUAGCUGGCCCUCAAUGCCUCUGGACAAGUUCCAUCUCUACAGAGUUUUCUCCACAUUCGCUCCAGGGGCUAUUUUAAAGUUCCACCACUCUCCUAAG